CAACAAAUUGAUGCUGAAUUUGGUGGUAGUAUCCAAGAUGCCAGUGCCAAAUAGAUGGAGGGAAUAAUGUUAGAAUAUCUGAGAAAAGUAAAGAGAAAAAUACUCCAAGGCUAUUUUUACCUUUCUAAUUUCAUGAUUUUUAUAUAGGACAAUGCUUGUCCCUUUUGGGGCUAAUCCAUACUUAUGAACAUCAGUUGAGAUUGAUGUAACUCCCUUGACACAGAAGUCGAAUGGAGGAAUAGGGUACCCAAGCUUACGAGCGAAAGGCAAUACAAAUCCACCAAGGCAGAGAUCAACAUGCAAGCAAAUGUCAUAUCGUGAAGCCAACUCCCCAAGUUCCUGAAGAUGAUCCGGGAUACAAGAAAUCACUGAACUUGCAGUGCACAAUUUCAGUAGGAAAAAAUAUUUUUGGUUUUCUUUAACAUAACGAUGAUUGAUUAACAUACCUCAAUAGGA